GAUGAGCCCGCGGCCUAUCAGCUUGUUGGUGGGGUAAUGGCCUACCAAGGCGACGACGGGUAGCCGGCCUGAGAGGGCGACCGGCCACACUGGGACUGAGACACGGCCCAGACUCCUACGGGAGGCAGCAGUGGGGAAUAUUGCACAAUGGGCGAAAGCCUGAUGCAGCGACGCCGCGUGAGGGAUGACGGCCUUCGGGUUGUAAACCUCUUUCAGCAGGGAAGAAGCGCAAGUGACGGUACCUGCAGAAGAAGCACCGGCUAACUACGUGCCA
rnacentral:rRNA from 1 species